rnacentral:rRNA from 1 species
GGGCAAUGGGCGCAAGCCUGAAGCAGCAACGCCGCGUGUGCGAUGAAGGCCUUCGGGUUGUAAAGCACUUUUAGCUGGGAAGAGGAAGGACGGUACCAGCUGAAUAAGCCUCGGCUAACUACGUGCCAGCAGCCGCGGUAAAACGUAGGAGGCGAGCGUUAUCCGGAUUUACUGGGUGUAAAGCGCGUGCAGGCGGUUUGGUAAGUUGGGUGUGAAAGCUCCUGGCUCAACUGGGAGAGGUCGCUCAAGACUGCCAGACUUGAGAGUGGUAGGGGAAGGUGGAAUUCCGGGUGUAGUGGUGAAAUGCGUAGAUAUCCGGAGGAACACCAGUGGCGAAGGCGGCCUUCUGGGCCACAUCUGACGCUCAGACGCGAAAGCUAGGGUAGCAAACGGGAUUAGAGACCCCGGUAGUCCUAGCCGUAAACGAUGUGAACUUGGCGCUGGGGCGGUAAAACGGUUCAGUGCCGAAGCAAACGCGAUAAGUUCACCACCUGGGGACUACGGCCGCAAGGUUA